rnacentral:ncRNA from 1 species
CCUCCCGCUUGCCUCCCUGAGCGGGGCCUGGAUGGAUCAGGCUUACCCCGGCAGCAGCUUGCCGGGGUUUUUUAU